AGAGUUUGAUCCUGGCUCAGGAUGAACGCUAGCGGGAGGCUUAACACAUGCAAGUCGAGGGGCAGCAUAGGGUAGCAAUACUCUGAUGGCGACCGGCAAACGGGUGAGUAACGCGUAUGUAACCUACCCUGUACAGGGGGAUAACCCGGAGAAAUUCGGACUAAUAUCCCAUAACAAUAUCCGGGGGCAUCUUUGGAUAUUUAAAGUUCCGGCGGUACGGGAUGGGCAUGCGUAACAUUAGCUAGUUGGUAAGGUAACGGCUUACCAAGGCUUUGAUGUUUAGGGGUCCUGGGAGGGUGGUCCCCCACACUGGUACUGAGACACGGACCAGACUCCUACGGGAGGCAGCAGUGAGGAAUAUUGGUCAAUGGGCGCAAGCCUGAACCAGCCAUCCCGCGUGCAGGAAGACGGCGCUAUGCGUUGUAAACUGCUUUUCCAGGGAGAGAAACUUGCGCACGUGUUGCGCAAUUGACGGUACCCUGGGAAUAAGCAUCGGCUAACUCCGUGCCAGCAGCCGCGGUAAUACGGAGGAUGCGAGCGUUAUCCGGAUUCAUUGGGUUUAAAGGGUGCGUAGGCGGACUAUUAAGUCAGUGGUGAAAUCCUGCAGCUUAACUGCAGAACUGCCAUUGAUACUGAUAGCCUUGAGUUUGGUUAAGGUAGGCGGAAUGUGUAAUGUAGCGGUGAAAUGCUUAGAUAUUACACAGAACACCAAUUGCGUAGGCAGCUUACUGAGCCGACACUGACGCUGAGGCACGAAAGCGUGGGGAUCGAACAGGAUUAGAUACCCUGGUAGUCCACGCCGUAAACGAUGAUUACUCGCUGUUGGCGAUACACUGUCAGCGGCUAAGCAAAAGCAAUAAGUAAUCCACCUGGGGAGUACGGCCGCAAGGUUGAAACUCAAAUGAAUUGACGG
rnacentral:rRNA from 1 species